rnacentral:rRNA from 1 species
CCUACGGGCGGCAGCAGUGAGGAAUAUUGGUCAAUGGGCGCGAGCCUGAACCAGCCAAGUAGCGUGAAGGAUGACUGCCCUACGGGUUGUAAACUUCUUUUAUCAAGGAAUAAAGUGCGGCACGUGUGCCUUUUUGUAUGUACUUUAUGAAUAAGGAUCGGCUAACUCCGUGCCAGCAGCCGCGGUAAUACGGAGGAUCCGAGCGUUAUCCGGAUUUAUUGGGUUUAAAGGGAGCGUAGAUGGGUUGUUAAGUCAGUUGUGAAAGUUUGCGGCUCAACCGGAAAAUUGCAAUUGAUACUGGUAGGCUUGAGUACAGUUGAGGUAGGCAGAAUUCGAUGUGUAGCGGUGAAAUGCUUAGAGAUGACGAAGAAUUCCGAUUGCGAAGGCAGCUUACUAAAC